GCAAGCGUUGUCCGGAUUUAUUGGGUUUAAAGGGUGCGUAGGUGGCCUUAUAAGUCAGUGGUGAAAUGCUGCAGCUUAACUGUAGCACUGCCAUUGAUACUGUAGGGCUUGAGUGUCGUUGAGGCAGGCGGAAUUUAUGGUGUAGCGGUGAAAUGCAUAGAUACCAUAAAGAACACCGAUAGCGUAGGCAGCUUACUAAGCGAUAACUGACACUGAGGCACGAAAGCAUGGGGAGCGAACAGGAUUAGAUACCCUGGUAGUCC
rnacentral:rRNA from 1 species